rnacentral:tRNA from 1 species
GGGUAUAUAGCUCAGUGGUAGAGCACAUGCUUAGCAUGCACGAGGUCCUGGGUUCAAUCCCUAGUACCUCCU